rnacentral:rRNA from 1 species
CCUACGGGUGGCAGCAGUAGGGAAUAUUGCUCAAUGGGGGAAACCCUGAAGCAGCAACGCCGCGUGGGGGAUGAAGGUUUUCGGAUUGUAAACCCCUUUUGUUAGAGAAGAUAAUGACGGUAUCUAACGAAUAAGCACCGGCUAACUCCGUGCCAGCAGCCGCGGUAAUACGGAGGGUGCAAGCGUUACCCGGAAUCACUGGGCGUAAAGGGCGCGUAGGCGGGAUAGCAAGUCAGAUGUGAAAGGCUAUGGCUUAACCAUAGAACUGCAUUUGAAACUGUUCUUCUAGAGUAUGGGAGAGGUAGGUGGAAUUCUUGGUGUAGGGGUAAAAUCCGUAGAGAUCAAGAGGAAUACUCAUUGCGAAGGCGACCUGCUAGAACAUAACUGACGCUGAUGCGCGAAAGCGUGGGGAGCAAACAGGAUUAGAUACCCCAGUAGUC